ensembl:lncRNA
UGAAUGGCGGAUCUGAAUCUGAGAAUCUGGAGAUAAUGCUCAGCUGACAACCCUGAACAAUGGAGAUUCAUACGUGCAUCCUGAUGAUGCUGGUGGCACUUCCUUCAAGUUCAAGAUCUGGACUCAGUUUGAUUGGCUUCCAGUGGAUAAAUUCCCACCCCCAGAGGAAAGAUGGAAAUUUUGGAGAAGAAUGAUUGAUUAUUGCCUGAGAGAUCUGGACUGCGUAAAUGAAUUAAAGAUGCAGUUCUGCAAUCUCUUUCCAUUUCCUUUAGCAGACAUGACAGGGAAGAUUCCUGGGAGAUCUGAAUGAAUCCUCUUGCUGUAUGCCCU